rnacentral:pre_miRNA from 15 species
UACAGUCAUAAUUGCGAAGAGAAUAUUUACUUGUCUUAUAGUAGAAAAUUUAGAACAAAUUAGUAAUGGGAGGCAUCCAUGCAACAUAAAAAAUAAAUAAAACAGUAAUAUACCUACGUUCAACUCGUAAUAAAUUGCAAAGUGCUCGAUUUUGUGGAACACACAUCACAUGAACUAAAUUUGUUCAUGCAUUAACCACACAACAGAGCCGUAAUCAAGAUGAGGUUGGAAAAGUGAAGGCUUUAUAUUAUAAAGCCUUGCAGCGAAAAUUAAUUCACAAUUCUUAGGAUUCGACAAGAAUUCAUUGCGCGUCAUCCGCUUAGAAAUCCAUUUUAAAUCUCCAUAGAGACGUAAACAUACUCAAUUGUAUUAAAAUCAGUAUUACAGUGGAAUGAUACUAAACUGUAUAGCAUUUGAGAUAUCAUUUAUACAAAAUGAUAAAUAGUAAAUAGCAAGGGACCCAUUGUACUUCUCCUGCAAGUGACUGUAAUCUAACAAACUAUUACCGUUGACUGAAAAAAUAUGAUAUUCUCAGACGGAGUUAGAUACACAUGAAAAAAGCGUAAACUUGAAUCAUCAAAACCAACAUGAACAAAUUAGUUUCUUUAGAAUAAUAGAAUGAGAGACCACAUCGAACAUAAUCAUCAACCUUAUUUGAGGUCUAUACUUUAUUUAUGUAUUAAUAAUGUGUUGUUAAUGUUUCUUCAUCCCCUUCUCCAGAUCAUCAUGCCACGAGUAAUGCCAGCGGCAUUGCGAUGUUUGUGCAACACGCAGAAGGGGCACAGAUGUAAAAGGAAGACAAGGCACCCAACAAGAAUAUGCCACCAACAUCGGAGAAACUUCGCCGACGAUGCCGCAAUGGAAGCUUUCAUCGAUCGCCGACCUCGUCGCUGUACUGCAUUGACGCUGAAAGCCGCUCAAUGCAAACGCAAUGGCAUAUUCGUUUUCGGCUACGCAUUGCAUGAUUACUGCAUGCAACAUUAUCUCAUACAACAGGCUGCCAUAUGAUCCGGUGGUCACCGUCUGAAUCGUGAGCUUUUCCAGUCUUUCCUCUCGUCAUCUCCAGUCUUCUUCUUCGCCACUACACCUUCAUCUACACAUCUUCGCCAUCUACACAGACAUCUACAUAUCCAGUCAUCAUAGUCGCCAUCACCAACAUCACCAUCAACAUAGAACUACUUCAUCUCAGCAUUCAUCAUUAUUAUGUAAGCUUACGUUUCAUUCUAUUUGAUAAUGUUGUUUAUUCAUGGUGUUUCCCACAGAUUUUUUUAGUUCUUUUACACUAUGACCUCUUGGCCGUAGCCUCCGGACCGUGCUCUAGCCUCCUUCAUAUUCACUGUUAUGAUUUUUUUGGUAUAACUUGGCAUGGGUCAAGUGUCUUCUUAGGGGCCAGUAUUCCAUAUACAUGCAUAUUUAUAUAUAUGCAUCUCUGAUACUACAUGGUGCACGUUUAUGUACAGUGUAUCUCUUUUUUUAUUGAAGAGAGAACUUUUUCAUAUUUAGCAAAGUGUGCAUUAGGUUAAAAAAAAAAUAUUUUCCAAUAUCCUAUAGUUCACUUUUUGCUUGUUAUACUUCAUUAAUCAUUAUAUACACUCACACAUUUUUUUUCUCUUGCAAUGUUAACUGUUCCCAUCAUUUGUUUAACAGUAUAUAUUGUAUGUAUAUAUCAUUAUUUCACAUCCUUUUUGUGAUGACUGAAUGAGUAUUUAUUGAAAUGUUGUCUUUAUAAAAAAAAAGUAUAUGUGCAAGACCUCAUUUCAAUAAACGUUGUGAUGGAAUACUGGCCCUAUCUGUGGGAAACACCAUGGAUAGCCUUUCACUGAUUUAUUAUUAUUAUACAUUGUGGGAUAUUAACAGAAAAUACAAAAAAAUAUCAAAAUAAAAGAAAUGUAAAAAAAAUGGGAGCUUACAGUGAUGGGAUAAAGCAUGGACAUGUCUACUGCUGGGUUUUGUUUAACUUUUUUUUGUGUUACUUUAACUGACUCACACAUUGUAAUGGAAACUUAAUUUUUAUAUCCCAUGAUUUGUUUAACUUUAAUCAUUAGAAACAUAUCGUUUUACACUUUUUUGGUGAAAUGAAUAUGGGCAAAGUGACUAUACUUUAAUUUUUUUUCUAGAGAGCCUCAUGCUUUAAAUUCUUUUUCCCCUUUUGCAUAAUACAUGUGGAUUCACAAGUGCAGCCAUUAUUGGCUACCCAAUGGGCCCUUUUCUUUUCUUUAUAAUGAAUACAUACAUUCAUACAUACACCUGUACAUACAUACAUAUUGGUAUUUAUAUAGUGCCUUUACAAGAACAUGAUUCUUAUAUUCCUCCCAUAACUUUUCUUUUCUUUAUAAUGAAUACAUACAUUCAUACAUACACCUGUACAUACAUACAUAUUGGUAUUUCUAUAGUGCCUUUACAAGAACAUGAUUCUUAUAUUCCUCCCAUAACUUUUCUUUUCUUUAUAAUGAAUACAUACAUUCAUACAUACACCUGUACAUACAUACAUAUUGGUAUUUAUAUAGUGCCUUUACAAGAA